GCAGGCGAGUUAAACGAGUGUGAUAGCAUCGCCUCUUAAGGACCCGACAUGAUUGGUACUGUAACAAAACGAAGCGUAACUCGACAAGUAUGCUAGUUAUUGUAUUAAAUCUGGACCAACUGCAAUCCGAAAGUUUCAAAGUGCAAAGGCAAAGGAACAGCCACGCCUUUAGUGACGCAACAAAACGAUGUCACCUCAAAUUCCUCAGAACUUUAAAAGGCUGUCAGGCUCGUUUACUUUAUUGUAACAACGUACUGUGCAAGGGACUGUGUGCUAACUCAACCGCUCAAGAAAGAGAUAUUGUUCAGGGCCGGAUUCUACUUCUUCAGUUUGUCAGCUUCCCUUUACAAGUUAAAAGAAGAUGAUGGCAGCACACGGAGAACCCUGUGAGGCAUUGGAGCAAUCCUAUUGCUACAACGGAGGCCGGUGCUACAGGAUACCUUCUAUGUCCACCCUUUCCUGUGUGGGAUUGUGAGAAGUGUUCAUUCAUGCACGAAUGCAUGCCUUACACGUGUGAUCAACAUCAUUUGGAAUGAAUACGGGUGCACUGAGAACUACAGAGGAGCCAGGUGUGAGGAGUUCCAGCUCCUCAGCAAGGCAAACUCCAGGAACAAGGCGGGACUGAUUGUCGGUUCUGUCAUUCUGUCAAUUCUUAUUGCUCUUGUACUAGCUGGAGUGAUCUACUGUAUCUGCAGAAUGUGGAGGCAGAAGCAAAGGAACCAACAGAACAGCAAGCAGCAGUAUUCCCACAUCUAUCCCCAGAGCAAUCAAAUAUGAUAAGCACUACUUUAUAUGAAAAGCAAGGAGAAUUUUACAUUCACUUAAAACAUAAAAUGACAGACUGACGCUCCCCAAACAUGCUGUAGAGAUCUAUUGUACAUAGAAGUGUGCCGUUUGGGCUCUGGGCUUUUUAUUUUUUAAUGGAUAUUCAGUAUGAUGCUAAAGUUUGCAUUAUGAAUAGUUUAUGAUUUUAAAAUCCAUUUUAAAUGCUUUUUUAUAGACAUAUUACUGUGUCCUUUCAGGCAAUUCCUGUAAAGUGGGUUUCAAAUAUAGGGUUUUUACCAAAUGAUUAUAUUUAUGACGAGAGUAUAACAGAGAGGUAACAAAUCACACUCAAAUACACUCACACUUUAACCAACAAACAGGACCCAGGUUAUAAAGCCACUUGGGAAGCAAUUAAACAGUUUGAGGCUUUGGACAAGUGGCAGCAAGACGAAUCGUAUUGUUGUUUUAAUGUUAUUUCAAGGGUAGCAGUACUUUAGAGGCUAGCUGCAGGUCCCUCUAAGACCCAUGGUGGUUAGUCUUACACUGUAGCUCCUCAUCUUUCUCAUGUUUCCUAACAGAGGAUGAGCACCAAGUGGCCAUGUAACUUUAAAGCUACUGACAACUGUGUAAAAGUAAAUUCAAUAAAAGAAAUAAAACUUGUGGUAUUUUUCCAUUAUGUGAACUAGAAUUAAAAGCAUUAGGAGGUG